UGUUGGGCAGUUGAGCUGCUAGUCUGUGCUUGAGUUUUCUGAUGUGUUGAUGUUGUGUUGCUAUUGCUAGCUGCUCCGUGUUGCUGCAAUGAAUUGUGAUGUAGCUGCUUCUGCUUGAUACUGUUGUUCCAGCUACUGCUUCUAUUGGUUGGUGAUGCGCCUGAUUAGUUUAGUUGUUUUACUUUAUGUGCUAGACGGUUGUACUAUUAAUCCUGCCCGUUUGUUGGUUGGCUAUUUUUGUUGUUUUUCUUUGUUAGUUUCUUGUAUGCUAGUGAUUAGCUUUGUUUACUACGGCCAUCAUAGGGUCUGUCCUAUGAUGGCUAUGGUAUACUGCUUGGGGUUUGGCCUAUGUACUUAUUCUUUCUUUUAGUUUAGUCAAAAUUUAGCAAAAAAAAGAAGAAUAUACACAAGGCUCUUUAUGUCUCUAUAUAUCAAAAAUGGCAAUAAAAAUGUCCUAAUAUCCUGGCCCUAAUUUCUAAUGACCCCUCCUUCAAGUAAGAAUCUGAUUGGUCAUUUAAGUGAAAAGUCAAAUUUUUGAAUCAGUAACUGCGCAGUUGUGCUGUGUUUACUCUUGUUUUGGACGUCGUUGGGCUGCAGGGCAAUCCAGCCAGGCUCUGGCGAAGAUACGCCAUGCUACAUGCAAGAUGGGGUGCUGUUGCACUGUCUGUCAAUUCUGCAGUCUGCUGUCUUCUAUCUUGCUGCUUCCAUUCCCGCACGCAUUAAUCAUUUUAGCUUACAUAUUCACCAUGCUUUGGCUCUUUUUUUCCCAACACACCAAGUUCCAUCCAUAUUAUGCCGACUUGCCAUCCUUUUGACUAAAGAUGCCACUGAAUGAGUUCCUGAACAUGAAUCCUAUAAUAUGGAAAGAAAUGCAUGAAAAGCAACCAAGCCAUGUGGGAAUAAGCAACAAUUGGAGUUAGUUGAUACCAGAUAAGUGGUU
rnacentral:lncRNA from 1 species